GUAGGGAAUAUUGCGCAAUGGACGAAAGUCUGACGCAGCGACGUCGCGUGAGUGAUGAAGGCCUUAGGGUCGUAAAGCUCUGUUGAAUGGGAAGAAAAAAAUGACGGUACCAUUCGAGGAAGGACCGGCUAACUUCGUGCCAGCAGCCGCGGUAAUACGAGGGGUCCUAGCGUUGUUCGGAAUCAUUGGGCGUAAAGGGUGUGUAGGUGGCCAUGUAAGUCAGGUGUGAAAGCCCCGGGCUCAACCCGGGAAGUGCACUUGAUACUGCGUGGCUUGAGUACCGAAGAGGGUAGUGGAAUUCCAGGUGUAGUGGUGAAAUACGUAGAUAUCUGGAGGAACACCGGUGGCGAAGGCGGCUACCUGGUCGAGUACUGACACUGAGACACGAAAGCAUGGGGAUCGAACAGGAUUAGAAACCCGUGUAGUCC
rnacentral:rRNA from 1 species